rnacentral:rRNA from 1 species
AACACAUGCAAGUCGAACGGGCGUAGCAAUACGUCAGUGGCAGACGGGUGAGUAACGCGUGGGAACGUACCUUUUGGUUCGGAACAACACAGGGAAACUUGUGCUAAUACCGGAUAAGCCCUUACGGGGAAAGAUUUAUCGCCGAAAGAUCGGCCCGCGUCUGAUUAGCUAGUUGGUGAGGUAAUGGCUCACCAAGGCGACGAUCAGUAGCUGGUCUGAGAGGAUGAUCAGCCACAUUGGGACUGAGACACGGCCCAAACUCCUACGGGAGGCAGCAGUGGGGAAUAUUGGACAAUGGGCGCAAGCCUGAUCCAGCCAUGCCGCGUGAGUGAUGAAGGCCCUAGGGUUGUAAAGCUCUUUUGUGCGGGAAGAUAAUGACGGUACCGCAAGAAUAAGCCCCGGCUAACUUCGUGCCAGCCGCCGCGGUAAUUC